AUUGAACGCUGGCGGCAGGCCUAACACAUGCAAGUCGAGCGGAGCGGCGGACGGGUGAGUAAUGACUAGGAAUCUGCCUGGUAGUGGGGGAUAACGUCCGGAAACGGGAGCUAAUACAGCAUACUAUCAGAUGAGCCUAGGUCGGAUUAGCUAGUGGGUGGGGUAAAGGCCUACCAAGGCGACGAUCCGUAACUGGUCUGAGAGGAGGACCAGUCACACUGGAACGUAGACACGGUCCCGACUCCUACGGGAGGCAGCAGUGGGGAAUAUUUGACAAUGGGCGAAAGCCUGAUGCAGCCAUGCCGCGUGUGUGAAGAAGGUCUUCGGAUUGUAAAGCACUUUAAGUUGGGAGGCGUUACCCACAGAAUAAGCACCGGCUAACUUCGUGCCAGCAGCCGCGGUAAUUC
rnacentral:rRNA from 1 species